rnacentral:lncRNA from 1 species
CUAAAUGUUAAAAUAAUAAUUUUAUCCUUUAUUAAUUAACGAUUAAAUUGUUUUUUAUUUUUUGUAAAAUAAAAUAUCAAAUCAUUCCUUAUAUUUGUAUGAGUAAGAGAAAUACUGCUAGGAGUAGAAUAGUUGGAGAGACAAAUCAUGGAGCAGUACUGGGACGACGACGACCUCCUCGUCGCAGCUCAAUCCGACUUAUGGAACCACCUGUUCGUCUUCCUAAAAUCCAUGUCGCUCAAAUGCGCAGUCGAGCUCGGCAUCCCCGACGCCAUCCACCGCCACAGCGGCCCCGUCUCCGUCCCCGACCUCGUCGCCGCGCUCAGCCUCCCGGCCGCCAGACUGCCGCCGCUCCGCCGCCUCAUGCGCAUGCUCGCUUUCUCCCGCCUCUUCACGAGGCAGACGUCGGAAGCCGCCGCCGGCGGGGAGGAGGAGGAUUUGUACGGCCUCACGCCGACGUCCCGCCUGCUCGUCGACGACGCCGGAGGCCGCCGCAGUCUCGCGCCGUUCGUGCGCGCGAUGCUCGACCCAGUGCACACGGCGCCGUGCCUGCACGUAGGGGACUGGUUUAAAGCAGCCGACGGCGCCGCGACGCCGUUCGAGGCGGUACACGGAAGCGUUAUCUGGGGCGUGACGAGGAGCAACCCGGAGUUCAACGCGGUGUUCAACGAGGGGAUGGCGGCGGACGGGACGUUCAUAAUGGACGUGAUCGUCAGAAAAUGCGGGCAUGUCUUCCGCGGGCUGCGGUCGCUGGUCGACGUCGGCGGGGGGACCGGCGCUGCCGCCGGCAUCGUCGCAGAGGCGUUUCCGCACAUCAAGUGUGCAGUUCUUGAUCUGCCUCAGGUCGUCCAGGGGCUGCCAGCGGACGGGCCCGUUGACUUUGUCGCGGGCAGCAUGUUCGAGCGCGUUCCUCCGGCGGAUGCUGUGAUGUUGAAGGUCAAAAUAAAAUUCCGCUCCUGUUUUCUUUCCACUACCAAACUACUGCAAAAUUAAUACUACUUGUAAUCCGAGAAGUUGGGAACUCAAAGCUCUUUUGUUUGAUACGCAUGAGUGAAAUUUCGAGCCUCCUAAUCGACUUUAAGUACAGUCUUCAGAGUAACAACUAGCUACUCUAAAUGGUGGUUACUUAGGAUAUAUGUUUAUAUUGGAUUUUACAAUUUUGGUUAAUUAGAACACUCUAUAUAUAGUUAAGUUGUUGGCACUUCACAAAAUAAACUGAUGAUCACAGUGGAUUCUGCAUGACUGGGACGAUGAGGUUUGCGUGAGGAUACUGCAGAAGUGCAAGGAGGCGAUCCCAUCGAGAGAGGCCGGAGGGAAGGUGAUCGUUGUGGAGCAGGUGACAGGGUCGAGCCCGGAAGAGAAGUCGACGGAGAUGCAGCACUUCUUCGACGUGUGGAUGAUGAUCCUGACCGGGGGACGCGAGAGAGAUGAGCAGGAAUGGUGCAAAAUAUUCACUGAGGCGGGGUUCAGUGAUUAUAAGAUUGCUGCCACGCUUGGACUUCGAUCAGUUAUUGAAGUGUUUCCUUAAAAUGAAAUUUCUUUCGAGGUGAACUUUUAGUUGGACUUGGAGCUUGUUAUGAAUUAUGAUUGUUGGAUAAAAUAGUAUGGACUUUUGUUUAUUUACCUUUUACUACUAUUAAUAAUAGGGUUAUUUGUAUACACGUCCCUACAAAUAUAGUGAAUUGCGAAAAUAUUCCUGCAAAACGGAAAUUCCAUAAGUUGUCCCUACAAAAGUCCUAUAUGUCACUGCCGCCAGAUCUGGUAGAAAAUUUUCGUUAACCACGGUUAAAAUACUUAACCAUGGUUAAUUAUAGUGUGAAUUGACGUAUUUACCCUUCUUCCUCUUCCUCCUCUUCCUCUUCCUUCUUCUUCGUCGCCGGCGAGGAGAUGUGGCGGCGACGGCGACGACGGCGGCGAACCCUCUUCCUUUUCCUCUUCCCUCUUCCUCUUUUUCCUUCUUCUUCCUUCUUCCUUCUUCCUCUUCCUCUUCCCUCUUCUUCGUCACUAGCGAGGGAGAAGAACCUCGUCGGGGUCGGCCUCGGAAAGGCGGGCGAGUUUCUGGACGAGAAGCUCGAGGGCAUUAUUGUCGACGAGGGCGGCGACGAGGGCGUGCGCGGGGUCGUCGUGGUCGCCGAGGACGUCGGCGUUGGUGAUGUCGGUGAGGAGGGAGACGACGUCGACAGCGAUGUCAGCGAUGUCGUGGUCGAGGAGGCCGACGAGGGAGGGGACGGCGUUGAGGGCGUCAAGCUCCGGGUAGAGCUCCGGUGCCCCGGCGUUCUUCCCUCUUCUUCGUCGCCGGUGAACCCGACCCCGCGCCGCCGCCGUCGUCGUCCGCUUCGAAGGUCCGAAGAGGAAGAGAAAGAGAAGGGAAGAGAAAAACUUUUGGAGGGAUAUAUUUAUGAGGGUAAAAUGGUCAUUUCACAAAUUCACUGUUAAAAAAUAAACAGAUCACUAACGGAUGUUAACCGAAGGGACAUAUCUGCAUAACUUCGGACUUUUGCAGAGACAAUUUAUGGAGUUUCCAUUUUGCAGAAAUAUUUUCGCAAUUCACUAUAUUUGUAGGGACGUGUAUGCAAAUAACCCUUAAUAAUAAUAGGGGUUAAAGAAUAAUAAGAUGUUUUUGAGUUUCACCUGAAUGUGAUUGUUGAGUGGAUAAGACUUCUUUGAGUUUCACCUUGUGAAAAAAUAAAAAAAUUAAUAGCUGUGGCCUCCUUUUGUAUGUGUGUGCGUGUUAUUUUUGGGACUUUUUUUGCAUAUAGCGCCCUGCCAAAUUUUUAUUUUAAAAAUAGUCUUUUUAAAAUUUAAUUUGCAAAAAUAGCCGUGCGCUUGCCACGUAGGCGCAACGUCAGUGCCACGCAGGCGGGACAAGGGCCAAUGUGUUAAGUUAAACACGGCAAACCAUUUAGCGUGUUUCAUUUACCAUGUUUAGACACGGUGAAUGGUUCACCGUGUUUACUACGUAUAUUUUAUAUGUUGAAAAGAGGAAUAGGGAGUAGGGAUGUCAAUAGGUAUGGAUAUCCGAAAUAUUAUUCGAACUCAAACCCGAAUAAAUUAUAUAUAUAUAUAUAUAUAUAAUUUAUUCGGGUUUGAGUUCGAAUAAUAUUUCGGAUAUCCAUACCUAUUGACAUCCCUACUCCCUAUUCCUCUUUUCAACAUAUAAAAUAUACGUAGUAAACACGGUGAACCAUUCACCGUGUCUAAACAUGGUAAAUGAAACACGCUAAAUGGUUUGCCGUGUUUAACUUAACACAUUGGCCCUUGUCCCGCCUGCGUGGCACUGACGUUGCGCCUACGUGGCAAGCGCNAGGCUAUUUUUGUAAAUUAAAUUUUGACAGGGCUAUUUUUAAAAUAAAAAUUUGUCAGGGGGCUAAAUGCAAAAAAAACCUUUUUUUUUUGUUUUUUCAUUUCUAUGUCUAACGUGAAAGUCUUAUGCGUCUUCGUGGCCUUAACAUUGUCGGAUCGUUGGCGUUAACCAUUAAUCCCAAAAGCUCGAGCUGUUAGAAAUACACAACCAAUUCACUUAAAGCACUUCGAACAUGACUCGGCCUAACCCAGCCUCACGCUAUUUCGAACAUGACUCGGCCCACAUGCCCUCCCGCCACAGGGCAGGACCCGCCACAGGGCAGGAUGCUGGCCUAUUUAAGCCAACAAUCCCCCCUCCAGCACCUGCACACAUUUGCAACAUACAGGAAUCGAACCCGUGACCUCUGGCUCUGAUACCACUUGUUGGAUCUUUUGCGCUAACCAUUAAUCCCAAAAGCUCGAGCUGUUAGAAAUACGCAACCAAUUCACUUAAAGCGUACAGAAACAGUGCUCACGAGUCUCGAUUGUGACUCGGCCAAACCUGACCUCACGCCACUUCGAACAUAACUCGGCCCAACCCAGUUUCACGCCAUUUCGAACAUGACUCGGCCCAACCUAGUUUCACGCCAUUUUGAACAUGACUCGGCCCACAUGGCCUCCCGCCACAGGACAGUAUACUGGCCCAUUUAAGCCAACAAACAUUAUUCAUAUAAGGUCAUAUUAGCCUAAAAAUUAGAACUUUAGGUUUUGUUUGGAUUGUUCUAAAAUAUACAAAAAAUUAUUUUUUGGUUUAAAAUAUUAUUUUUAAUUUUAUUGUUAAUUGAGACGUAAAUUUUUUUUCAAAACUUAUUUUUUUAGAAGGAAAGGUAUUUUUAUUUUUUCCCGAUUUUCGUCGGAAAAUGAAAACACAAGAAACAAAAUAUGCAGCUAACCGCAAUGCGGCAAGCACAAAAUCCUUGUGGACCUCUCACCCACUCUCUUCCUUCAAAUAUUCUUGUUUUUUUUUUUUUUCAGGAUUUACUAGUAGGAUUUAGUUUUAGAAAAAUAUCUUUGAUAAUUUCAGAAUAAGUUUAAAAUUUUUGAAUACUAUUAAGAAUAAAUAAGCAAAAAAUCUUUUUUUUUUAAUUUAUGGCAGAGGGUUUGCUAUGCACCAUCUUUUUUUUCCUUUUUUUUUUUUGAUUUUUUUAGCAUGCUUUCAGGCCCCAAACCCCUAAGUCCCUAUACCAUCUAUUACUAUAUACUAGAGCCUAUGGAGGUGGUUUUUUUUGUUGACACAUGUAUGCGUUUAAAUAUUACUUGGACCCAAUGUAUUAUAGAUUGGUUAAAAAAAUUUUAAAUAUAGGGCGCGCUUGGUUCGCACUAUGAAAGAUUAGUAAGAGUAAAAAGAUAUCCGAGAAUUUUAUUCCUAUUCAUCUUAUUACUAAGAAUAUAGUAUUUCGGUGUUUGGUUCGUACGGUCAUAGUAUUUAGUCAUGUUACUUAAAAUUUCAAAAAAUAUAUAAUUAAUUAAUUAAUUAAUUAAAUUAAUUUUAAAUAGUACUAUAAAAAAAAUUCAACAUUUUUUUAGAAAAAAGAGAGAUAGAGAAUAUAUGUUAGAAAGAGAGAGCAUAAUUAAAAAAAUAGAAAGAGAAAUAAAGUCGAAGUUAGAGAGAAUGAGAGGGUUGAGAUUUAGAAAAAGAGGGAGAGAAAUAGCUUAAUUUAGAGAGAGAAAAAGAGUUGAAGUUUAGAAAGAAAAAGAUAAGUUUAGAGAGAGAUAUGAGGUUAGAGUGUAAAAUAAAAUAAUACCAACUAGCCGACGGAGGGGAAGAAAAAAAGAGAUUAGACAUAUUAUAAUUAGUCCAAUUCAUUAAUAUAAGGAUACCCACCGUCUCUCAAAGGAAUGAGAUUAGCACUUUGGGAUGCAUCUUAUUCUCAAGUAAAUCUAAUAUUACCAACUAGAUUACUUAGUGCGUUUAGUAAAACACCAUCAUAUUUUUUUAUUCCUAUUGAAUUACUAGAAAUCUUAAAAAGAUAGCGCGAACCAAACGCACCCAUAAUGCAUGUGUGGAGGGAUAUGUCAGGUUCAGGCAAUAUUGUCUCCUUCUACUUUCUUACCUCUCUGGCCAUCACUGUGAUUGACACCCUUUCCCCGCGCCACAUCCUAGCAACUGGCACCUCUCCUUUUUUCUCUCUUUGUCGACCUGAUACUUCGACACCUCCGACUUAGAUUUUUAUAGGUGUCAAUCCAAUCAACUGCAACUUCGAAGAGUCCAAAGCGAAGUGAAUCGCAGCAAUAGCGCCACGUUCUAGCGCACCGCUGCACUUCUUUCGAAGCCAUCGUCGUUGCCGCAGCCAAUGAAGAUGCUGAGAUGAGGCUCCCGCCAGAUUUGUCAAGGUCAACCACCGUAUCUGGGUGCAUUUGGUUCGCAUUAUAAAAGAUUACUAGGAAUAAAAGAUAUCCGAGAAUUUUAUUCCUAUUCAUCCUAUUACUAAGGAUGUGGAAUUCUUGUGUUUGGUUCGCACGGUAAUAUUAAUUAGCCAUGUUAUUUAAUAUUACAAAAAAAUACAAUUAAUUAAUUAAUUAAUUAAUUUAAUUUUAAAUAAUGUUAUCAAAAGUUUCAAGUUUUUUUAGAAAAUAGGGAGAGAGAGUAUAAGUUAGAGAGAGAGAGCAUAAUUAAAAAAAUAAAAAGAAAAAUAUAGUCGAAAUUAGAGAGAGUGAGAGAGUUGGAAUUUUAGAAAGAGAGAGAGAGAGAAAGUUUAGUUUAGAGAGAGAAAAAAAGUUGAAUUUUAGAGAGAAAAAUAAGUUUAGAGAGAGAUAUAAGGUUAGAGUGUAAAGAAAAAUAAUAUCAAUUAGCCGGCGGGUAGGAAGAAAGAAAGAGAUUAAACAUAUUAUGAUUAUUCCAAUCCAUUAAUAUGAGGAUACCCACCCUGAUCCCUCAAGGGAAUAAGAUUAGUACUUUGGGGUGAAUCUUAUUCCCAAGUGAAUCCAAUAUUACCAACUAGAUUACUUAGUGAGUUUAGCCAAAUACCGUCAUAUUUUUUUAUUUCUAUUGGAUUACUAGGAAUCUUUAAAAGAUAGCGCGAACCAAACAUACCCUAUAUGUUCUUUUUUUUUGUUGAUAAAAUAUAUAUUCUAAAUUGGUUUUAAAUUUUGUUAGAUUUAAUAGCUUUAUUGCCUAUCAACUAUUAAACCAAUUAGAGAACCCCCCACUUUUGUCAAUUAUGUAUUGUACGUCUUAAUUUUAAAAACAUUAUAUCUAAUUUCUCCAACAUUUAUAGACUUUUGAGAACUAUUUGGUACUCAAUUUUUCGAAAGUUAGGAAUCUUUUACAAAAUUAAAUAUAUUUUUAUAAAUUCUAGAAAAAAUAUCAUAAAAUCAAUCAAUUAAAAAAUUAUGAAUCAAAUAACUAUUUUUUAUUUUAUCAUAAUAUUUUCAAUUUUUGACAUUGCUUAUAUUAAUCAACAAAAAUGAUCUAAAUAGAGUUAGAAGAAUAAAAAGCCACAAAAUACAAAAAGAGGAUUUGUAUCUUUUAGACGAACUGGCCUAAAAAAAAAGCAUAUUAUAAACUUACUCUUUUUUUGCUUCAGAAAAUUUUAUAUUUUGAAAUCAAAUGUUAAUAUAAAUAUAUAUUUACUAUAUAUAUUUAACAAAAAUAUAUACUAUAUUUUAUAAAUAUAAUUAAAAAUAUAUCCAUCGUAACCGCAGCAAAGCGCAGGUACGCGGCUAGUACCAAAUCCAAAGCCCCUUAUCCACGAAAAAUUUUGGAAUAUAACGGGUAUAUUGGUAACGUGGCGUAACAAACCAAUCAAAUAUCUCCUUUUAUGAAUAUGUCCCAUCAUAAUUGUAAAAAAAUAUUUUUAUUGUACUUUUGUUUGAAAAGAAGAAAUGUGAUUGACUUGUUAUUGAUGACGUCGUACAAGUGUGACAGUGUAGAAUUCCUCCUUAUCCACUUGCCCAAGAAGUGGACAGCUGUACUUUAAAAAUACUUUGUAAUUUGUUUUAUUACACAAAAUAGAAUAAUAUUUGCUGUACCAAUAAAUUGAACAAUUAAUCUGUAUACCAAUCAUAUCUUGCUUACUCGGCUAGUAGUGCUUAUAUCUGAUACAUAAAUGAUUAACAAAAAUUGUUUUAUCACCCCAAAUAAAAUAAUAUACCUGAAAUAACUAGAAUAAUUUAAUUUAAAAGUUUGUAAUCAAGGGCUUUCAAUUAAGAAAAGAAAAAGAUUAAGAAUGAAUAUCUAGGGUGCAUAUAUAAUUUUUUUUUUUUUUUUUGAGAGAUAGGUAGCACGCUAUCCGCUUCGUUUAUUUCAUUUAGAAAUAAACUUAGCUGGAAAUAUAAAUCAACUAGGAUUCAAACUUGGGACCUCGGAUAACAACCACCAAGCCGUUUGCAACUUACUUUAGGGACGGUCAGUGUAUAUAAUUAUAUGUUCAUACUACAAAAUUUACGAGAAAAAAACAAAUUAAUAUUAUAGGUUUUAUAUGGUUUUAUCUAUAAAAAGAAAAUUUAACAAUUUUCAUAUGAAUACGAUUCAUCAGAUCGUCUAAUUUUUUUAUAUAUUUUUACCAUAGAUUUUUAAACUUAUAUAAAUUUGAAAAUACAUGAAAGGUGCAUAAAGAUUCUAAUCCUUACUUUGGCCCCAAAGCAUUAACCUUUGUUUUGCCAUUUGCUCUAUCCACUCAAAACUGUUCACAAACAUGAUUGUCAACUUGUAAUCCACCACACUUCUGUUUUCGGAUAUAGACAAAGAAGAAGAAGAAGAAAACAAAAAACAGCAUAAAUUAAGAAACAAACAAAAACUAAACUACAAGCAAGACUCAACUACAAGCAAGAGGAGCAACGCUAUUGUAUUAUAUUUCAAAGUGAGUACGUUGUAUAUUUGGCGCUCUUUUUAUUCAACAACUGCCGGCGAUUAUUUAUCAUAUUAAUUUUAUAUUAAUUUUUAUUUAUUUUUAUUUUAAAUUAUUUAAAUUCUUAUGAACUUUAAGACGGGAGGGUGUAAAAUUUACGUCUCUGUUGAAAUGUACAAGUAGAAUGUUUUCAAAAGAGAAGACAAAGAUCUUGUUUGAUAAUAAAAUGGUUAAAAAUAUUAUUCUUAUGUUAUAAAAUAUUUUAAAAAUUUUAAAGUAUUUACAAUUAUUUCUUACCAAUUUUAAUUAUGCUUGCAAAUGCAGCUUCAAUUUUAUAGUAAAAAAUAAGAAAAAAAAUAUUUUUGUUAAUUAUUUUUAAAUUUUUAUAAUAUAAAAAUAAUAUUUUUAGCCAAAAGAGGUUACACUUAGCUAGUGUGUACCAUGGGGUGUAAUUAGGAGGUCUCUUAUAUAUAUCUAGGGCCAAACCUAGCUACAGGUCACGUAAAAAAAAAAAAGAAAAAGAAAAAAAAAACUUCAAAUACCACUCCUCUGAUUUCCCUUUUUUUAAUUUUAGUACCUUAUGAUUUAAAAUAUAUCAAUUUAAUAUCUCAUAAUUUUAUUUCUCUUUUUUUAUUAUUCUUUUCACUAAUUUUUUUCAUUAAAUAGUGACAAAAAUAAAACUAAAAGAUACUAAAGUGAAUAUUCGAUAAAUCUAAGUGGGUAGCUGAAGUUUUUUUUAUGUAAUUUAAAGAAAUGUUAAAGGAGCUGACGAAAAAAAAAAAGAAAUCAUAAGAUACUAAAUUGAUACAUUUUAAAUCACAUGUUACUAAAGUGAGAAAGUGCGAAACCACAGGGUAAAGAUGUCUGUUGAUCGGGUCAGAUCUGGAUAGUUGAUAUACUGUAUCUGUACCCUAAAAAGAAACGGUCAGAAAAAAAAAACCUACCCAUUUAACUUCAGGUCGGAUUAGGACCUAGAUACUUAAGUUACUAAUAUACCCAUCGGAUCUAUUUGAACUGGUCUGAAUAGUGAUUAAUUACUCAUAUACUAUCCAUUCAAGACCAAGUACGAGCAGAGCGUGUUUCAGUCAUUACAUUAAUUGAUUAAAAGCCUAAAAUUGAAAACAAUUUCAUAUGUAAACACAUAAAAAUAAGAAAAUUAUGAUACUAUAUUAUAUAUAAAUAGAAUAUAAGUCGUAGUAAUUACUAAUAUUAUAUACUAACAUUCAAAAAAAUAGGGAAAUUAGAAAAUUAUUACUAAAUAGAAUAUUCAUUAAAAAAACUAGGUUGCCGACUGUGAUUAAUUGGAGAAGGAAUUUAGAAAAAACUAACUCGUGCCACGCCGGUAGUGCAUUAAUAUCGCUGAUAAUGACGACGAUAAAAAUAUUGUUUCAUAAAAAACUCUUAGGCGGAAAUGGAACAAAAAAAAUAAAGAGUAAAAAAUAAAGAGUAAAAAAAGUGAAAAAAAAUAAAGGAGUAAAAAAGCGGCUAAAGUUUUAGUGUUUCAUUAUAAUGAAAAUACUUAGAGACCCCUCAUUCUAAUAAUCUCUCAACUUCAAAAAUUCAAAUCUUUUUCAUUUAUUAUCGGACAUUUCAAUGGGUCCUGGUUUGAGUCCGGAUUUAAAAACUAUUUCAGACUUUACCCAUUUAAAAGUUGGGUUCGUUCGGAUCCAAAACGGAUAUAAGUAUAACAUAUCCGGACCCAUAUCCAAAAUGUUAAUGGAUAAUUUUUUUUAUUCGUAUACUAUUUAUUUUUUAUCGGGUCUGGUUAAGGUCCAGAUAGGAUCCGAUUUGGGUCCGGAUCGGGUAUGGUAUAUCGGAUAUUUUUGACAAUUUUACCACAGGGGUGGUAUUUGAAGUUUACCCAAAAAAAAAUCCAAAAAGGGUUAUCUCUAUAAAUCCUCAUCCAAGAAUUUGUAGAGAUUAGAAAUACAACAGUAUUUAAUCACCUAUAUUGGAUCAUAGACUUGAUUGCAAUAUUUUUAAAAAUUCAAAACUAAAUUAUAACAAAUUAAAAUUUUAGGACCAUCAAAAUGUUACCAACCUCAAAGUUUGAUAACCAAACGAGCAACUUACCUUAUAUUUAUUUAUCUUCUUUAACUUUAUUACUUUACACAAAAAAUUAAUAACUUAUUGCAUGUGAUAUCAUGCUGACGUCACUGGUUCGACCGAUCAAUCAAACUAUUCGUUGAAUAAGUUGACCCAUGAUGCAACAUCUUAUCUGAUAUGAACCGGUUCGCGAGUUUUAAAGCAUUCAUCAAGGUCACGUUAGGUUCUAGAGAUAAAGAGAGAAUAAGAAUUACUAUCCUUAGCUGUGUUUGGUAAUGGAAUAAUAUUUAGAAGUAUAAAUAUUUUUAUUCUUGAAUUUAAGGUGUAUUCUAGGAUACAGAAGAAUAAAAUGAAUUUUAUGUUUGGUAUGAAAUUCUCUUUUUCAAAAGAAUAAAAAAAUUUAUGUUUGGAAAAUUGCUUAGGAAUAAUAGAGAAAAGUAGUAAAAGUAGAUUGAAUUUUUCUAAAAUGUCAAUAUUGUCCUUAUAUGUGCCUCUUUUAUAUGUAAUAUUUAAUAAAAUGAACAAUACUUCAUAUAAAAUAUAAUAUAUGCAAUAAAAUAUUUUGGUGAAAGAAAAUUAUAUUUAAUAUUUUAAUAUUCAUAUUAUUUAUAAAAAAUUUUAAUAAUUAAUUAUAAAAUAUUUUUACCUUAGAUAUAGCUAAUCAAAUAUUUUAAUAAUUAAUUAUAAAAUAUUUUUACCUUAGAUAUAGCUAAUCAAAUAUUUUAAUAAUUAAUUAUAAAAUAUUUUUACCUUAGAUAUAGCUGAUCAAAAAUAGUAUACACAAUAAUAUAAAAAAUUGUAAAAAGUUUUAACUAAAGAGGCAUUUGGCUGAGUAUAGAGUAGGGUAAGUGAGCUCAAACAACGAGGCACCUUUUGCAUUUACUGCAUUGGGUAUAAAUUGAAGGACACAGCUAUUCCACUGUUGGAGGGAAUAGUUGUUAACGGAUUAUUCUUGAAUUAUCUAGAAUAACCCGCUUUGACCGGAAUUAAUACUACAACAAAUUUGAUUUUUAGUAGCGACUUUUUGGUGGCGACAGUGCUUGUCGCCACCAAUGUAUUUAAUAUGGUGCGACAUUUAUUUGUCGCCACCAAUGCAUAGGAAAUGGCGGCGACAUAUAAUAGUCACCACCGAUACAGAUGCAUUGGCGGCAACAUUUAUUUAUCGCCGCCAAUGCAUAGAAAAUAGCGGCGACAUAUAAUAGUCGCCACCGAUACACAGAUGCAUUAGCGGCGACAAAUAAGAGUCGCCACCGAUACUAAAAAUAUAGCGGCGACAAUGUCGGAGUAUUAGUGGCAAUAAUUGUCGCCACGAUAUUUUCUUAUUUAGCGCGCCAUAUCUUCUUCUUUUUUUUUCUUUUUCCCCAACUCCCUCCAAAACAAAAAACCCUUUCCCCCCAAAUCUCUCAGAAAAACCCUAAUUUCCCUCCAAAAAAAUAGAUGGUCUCCCCGUUCCCCCAAGCCGCGACCACCAAAAAAACCACAUCCCAUCCAUCGGCGCGGCGUCUACUCCUCCACGGCAGCCGCGUUAAUUUGCUGUUNAGUCGCCACCGAUACAGAUGCAUUGGUGGCGACAUUUAUUUGUCGCCGCCAAUGCAUAGGAAAUGGCGGCGACAUAUAAUAGUCGCCACCGAUACACAAAUGCAUUGGCGGCGAGAUGGCGGCGACAUAUAAUAGUCGCCACCGAUACAAAUGCAUUGGCGGCGACAUUUAUUUGUCGCCGCCAAUGCAUAGGAAAUGGCGGCGACAUAUAAUAGUCGCCAUCGAUACACAAAUGCAUUAGCGGCGACAAAUAAGAGUCGCCACCAAUACUAAAAAUAUAGCGGCGACAAUGUGGAGUAUUAGUGGCGAUAAUUGUCGCCACGAUAUUUUCUUAUUUAGCGCGCCAUAUCUUCCCCUUUUCUUUUUCUUUUUCCCCAACUCCCUCCAAAACAAAAAACCCUUUCCCCCCAAAUCUCUCCGAAAAACCCUAAUUUCCCCCCAAAAAACAUAUGGCCUCCCCGUUCCCCCAAGCUGCGACCACCAAAAAACCCCAUCCCAUCCAUCGGCGCGGCGUCUACUCCUCCACGGCAGCAGUGUUAAUUUGCUCUUCCUCNAGACUUGCGUUUUGCUGCAAAUAAAUAUUAUUUUAAUUAAUUAUUAUAUAAAAUUUUAAGAAUUAAAGAUUGAAGAAAUUAUAAUUAAAAAAAUACAGUCAAAAUAUUCAUUAGAAUAUUUUUAUAUACAUUAUAAUAAAAAUUUUUAAGUAUAAUAUCUUUAAUUAGUAUUCAUCUGGAUGUUCCAUACAACCAACAAUGUUAAAAUUAUUUUUUGAAAUCUGUUUAGUAUUGUAACAAUCUCUGACUCUAUGUUAAAUUUCUUACUGAAAUUCUUCUCAUCUGUUGAUCCCAAAAGGCACGUUUUCGGAGGACGUGAUCACAAUAAAAAUAUCUUUCAAAAAAGAUGAUUCCGACAACACCACAAUUUUUUCUUCAAUAAUGAAGAAAAAAAAUUGGAAACAAAAAAAUGUUUACAGUAUUUGUAAGUGUUGUUGUAAAUUAAGUAUAAAAAAUAAUAUCUUGAUUCUCUUUAAAUUAUACCUAGUCAUUCCAGAAAUGCAGUAAUCAAUAAUUAUCCUGCAUAACUCUUUUGGGGUGGGCACCCCCUAAAUUGGUGUUUGAGGGAGCCCUUAUCCUCCCCUCUAUUCCCGGCCACACACUAGCUAAUAAUAUAAAAAAAUGGUAAAGAACUAUAUUUCAUACUUAUAUAUUUAAUUAAGAAACACCGACGAGUAGAAUAUAUUGUUGGAGCAACAAAUCAUGGAGCAGUACUGGGACGACGAUCUACUCAUCGCGGCUCAAUCCGACUUAUGGAACCACCUGUUCGUCUUCCUCAAAUCCAUGUCGCUCAAGUGCGCCGUCGAGCUCGGCAUACCCGACGCCAUCCACCGCCACGGCGGCCCCACCUCCGUCCCCGACCUCGUCGCCGCGCUCGAUCUCCCAGC